AACGAACGCUGGCGGCAUGCCUAACACAUGCAAGUCGAACGAAGGCUUCGGCCUUAGUGGCGCACGGGUGCGUAACGCGUGGGAAUCUGCCCUUUGGUUCGGAAUAACAGCUGGAAACGGCUGCUAAUACCGGAUGAUGACGAAAGUCCAAAGAUUUAUCGCCAGAGGAUGAGCCCGCGUUGGAUUAGGUAGUUGGUGGGGUAAAGGCCUACCAAGCCGACGAUCCAUAGCUGGUCUGAGAGGAUGAUCAGCCACACUGGGACUGAGACACGGCCCAGACUCCUACGGAAGGCGGGAGUGGGGAAUAUUGGAAAAUGGGCGCAAGCCUGAUCCAGCAAGGCCGCGUGAGUGAUGAAGGCCGUAGGGUUGUAAAGCUCUUUUACCCGGGAAGAUAAUGACGGUACCGGGAGAAUAAGCCCCGGCUAACUCCGUG
rnacentral:rRNA from 1 species